rnacentral:rRNA from 1 species
AGUAAUACAUCGGAACGUACCCAGUAUGGGGGGAUAGCUCGGCGAAAGCCGGAUUAAUACCGCAUACGACCUAUGGGUGAAAGCGGGGGAUCGCAAGACCUCGCGCUAUUGGAGCGGCCGAUGUCGGAUUAGCUAGUUGGUGAGGUAAAGGCUCACCAAGGCUACGAUCCGUAGCUGGUCUGAGAGGACGACCAGCCACACUGGGACUGAGGCACGGCCCAG